AGUGAACGCUGGCGGUAGGCCUAACACAUGCAAGUCGAACGGCAGCACAGGAGAGCUUGCUCUCUGGGUGGCGAGUGGCGGACGGGUGAGGAAUACAUCGGAAUCUACUUUUUCGUGGGGGAUAACGUAGGGAAACUUACGCUAAUACCGCAUACGACCUACGGGUGAAAGCAGGGGACCUUCGGGCCUUGCGCGAUUGAAUGAGCCGAUGUCGGAUUAGCUAGUUGGCGGGGUAAAGGCCCACCAAGGCGACGAUCCGUAGCUGGUCUGAGAGGAUGAUCAGCCACACUGGAACUGAGACACGGUCCAGACUCCUACGGGAGGCAGCAGUGGGGAAUAUUGGACAAUGGGCGCAAGCCUGAUCCAGCCAUACCGCGUGGGUGAAGAAGGCCUUCGGGUUGUAAAGCACUUUUGUUGGGAAAGAAAUCCUGUCGGCCAAUACCCGGCGGGGAUGACGGUACCCAAAGAAUAAGCACCGGCUAACUUCGUGCCAGCAGCCGCCGUAA
rnacentral:rRNA from 1 species